GUUUGCUCAUCUGCUGUGCCUGAUUGAUCACAGUCUCGACUUCCGCCUAUGAGAACUGACUAUUGUGAUGGAGGAUACUGGCGUCUGGGUUAUGGAGUUAGAUUGGAGGAAUGGAGGCAUGUGUUGAACACGAAGUCAUAACCAUCAGUUCUUCAGUGGGAGGGAAUGAGGAGGAGACAGCUCUCUCCUGGCAGAGGUUUCUGUAGUCCUGGAGGGCAAGGAUGGCCCCACAUGCUGGCAGAAGCAGCUGGUUCCUUGCUGUGUACUGGGGAUGGACUUGGAGCACAAAGAAGGCCACAUGCAAUUGGCUCAUUGAUAAUAACAGUCUGAUGGAGAUGGAAAAGAUUUCGGACGUGAACUAAGCCGGUGUUCAUUGGUGAGCAACUUCCAGAGCCAUAAAUAAAAUCAACACCAUGUAAAAACGUAUUACUUGCUGGGAAGAUGUCUGCAGCAAGGUUGUCCGGCAAGUUUUUCCUCCCAGUGUAGGUGCUUCUUGAGUAAUCUGGUUUAUCUUGCUGUGAAAUACAAUGGCCGAAUAGAAUUCAUCUUAGAAAACAUACCAAAACCAGACUAAAAAGUGACAAAAAUAUUUACAGUGGAUGAGCACAUCAGCCAUGCAGUGUGACUCAGCAGCACAGUGAGUGGAGUGCUGUUUUGUUCUUGCAAUCCUUCUUGGCAAUGGAAGGCUGAAGGGGAGUGUCUUGGAAGAGGACCACCUGUGCUAUGGUUGAGCAAGAUGCUAUGGUGAUGGAUGGUGGAGCUGGAAGAUUUUACAAGUAGCCUCUCAGACUCUGAGGGAUGAAGCUCUUCUGUACAUUUGGCUGUUUCUGUAGCAUGUCCUGUCACCUAAGAGAGGGAUUGUGGAAUCUCACUGGUCUUCUAGCAGAUUGCUACCAGAGAUGCUGGGGCAUGCCCACUUCUUCCCUCCUCAGGCUGCUUGCCCUGAAGACAAGAGGCCCCUGUAGACUUUGCCUGGUAGAGUAACAUGAGUUGAUAAGCAACUAUACUAUGUGACCUUUCACUCUCCCUUUGAUGCCUUGCAUGACACACGGCAUUAAACUGUACCUUUUGAUGUACUCUCUUUUCCUCUUCCUGUGUGGGGGGAUUCUCCAGUCUUCUCAUUCCCCUAGAAGAUCACUUCAGAAUGUUCAUGUUUAACUUACUUAGAGAGAUAAACAAAUAUUGUGAUAAUGACAACGAACAAAUGGUAAGAACAGCAGAGGCUUAAAUACAAGAAUUAAUUAAGGAGGAUCAGCCAUCAGGCCCAGCUGCCUUGAGUAAUUCUGAAGCAUAACUUGAAAUGUUGAAGAUGUUUGAAGGGAGCCUUAAGUGGAGAAGCAAACAACCCAUGUCAUUACCAUGACAGCUUUGCGCUUGGUCAGUGGCAUCUCUUUCCUAUGGUAACUUGUGAUACAUCACCACCCAGUGAUGGAAAUAGAGAGUCAUGUGACCCAACAGAGCUAGUGGGAGCAUUCUCAAAACAUCAAGAAUCAAUGUAUUGGCUUAAGUUGACCAACUUGUAACUUGUAACUCAUUGUUAGGAUGUGUAGUUAUUAGGCUCAACUACUCAAACUUUUGUGUAAUAUCCCAAUUACACAAAUUUGGGUAUUAUCUGAUACCUGUGGGCCAGAGGAAGUGAGAGUUUUUGAGGAGAUGGUAGAGGUGUAGGAAUUAGAAUACAACCAGGUCUCCAACAAUGCUGAAAUGACUUCAUAUUUAUUUUCUUAGCAAAGAGAAAACGUUAUUCUGGGAGAAAUGGCUUGUUUUGAUAAUGUUUUCAGCGCAGUGCAAGAAUCAGAUAUGUGCAGUUUUCAACAAGUAAAAAUUAUGAGUGUCUGGAGAAACACAACAAAUGAUUUUGGCAUGAAUGUCACGCUGUCUAAAAUUUGACCCUAACUUUUGAUUCAGCCCAAAUGUAACUACAAGUAGGCGGCUGGUAGAAGUGAUGUAAUUAAGAAUUGGCACUAUUUUGCAUGUUGUCUGCAUGACAUUGUGGGAAGUACGUGGGAGCAGUGAGGGAGCCCUUUGCACCAAGACAUACAGAGGGUACUAGAAACGGGGCUGCUUACACGGGACAGGGUCACAUGGUGCUUAAGUGGCUACUCGCCACACGUGAGUCCACUACAGUAGCAACAGAAAGUGGCUUCGAAACCACUGAAGUUUCUAACUCGACUACCGUUAAUUUGGGGCAGUUUGGAUUUUAUUGCAUCUUUCCAUUUUUUUCUCUCGACUUUGGAUGGUACCAUGUAUGAUCUGAU